ensembl:lncRNA
AUCUUUUUAAUUUAGUUAGAGAACUUCACUUAUUGACUUAAUUCCUUGGCACAGGUUUUAACUUUCUGCAUAAGUAAUUUGAAUACUGACCAGUAUAAUAAACACAGAUGUGCCCAAGGAAAGUUACAGGUCUGAUAGUGUGGACAGCUAUUAAUCUUUUUGUCUGAGGUUAAAACUUUACAUUGAAUCAGAACAUUUGGGCUACAUUCCUUUAAUGUCCUGGGCUGGGAGUGGGGAUAUUCUGAAUUUUGUUAAUUUUUCAGUACCGGUUUGUCCUCUGUAAAGAAGUAAGAGCACUGCUACGCUUUAUGGCUUAGGUGCAGUUUCACAAUACGUUUAACACAGUCUAAUUAUAGACUAUUCCCAAAGGAACAGUUCUUGCCUCCCCCUCUCUGCCCCCCCUUUCAGCUUAGCUGCAUGUUUCCUGCCCUGUCUCUCAUACUGGAUUUAGCAAUCGUAAGUCCACAUGCCCUUUCCUCCUGCAGAAGCGUACAAAAUGAAGGAUUGAUGGUUUAUUUGACUAAGAAGUUGUUCAUCCUAACUAUUCUAGGAUUUCUAACUUGGGUAGCUUGUGCCUACAACAGUGUGAGCAUUUCACAGAAGAAAAAACAAGUGUAUCGAGGCAGUUAUUUGCCAAAGGUGACAUGAUGAGUCAGCAGCAGAGCCAAGAUUAGAGUACAGCGUUCAGACUGCCCAUCCCACAUGGGGCUCACUAAACCACUGCUCCUCCUGCAGCCUCCAGGGAAUAAAGUUCAUUUAGUUAGGUGGUAAAUGCUCAACUCCUGCCCUUGCACUUCACCUUGUUAUUUAUCUAAGUUUUGGCAGGCAUAAUUGUUUGUUGCCAAGGAAGACUACAGCUCACGAGAAACAACAAAAAAAGCAUUGAUCUUAUCUGUGGAAGAAAGGACACUGCAACAGCAAAGUUUGAGAGAACAAGAUCAGCAGUCUGCACUGGGAAUGUAGGUUGUAUGUGACGCUGAAAUUGCUUGAAGUGAUUUUUGACAAGUUAGCUUCUUUGCCUCUUCGUAAGUAAGAAACACAGAGUAAAAGACGUGUAAAGCAAAGAUUUGAGCACAGCAACUGAUUUUAAAUGUCACUUUUCUUCAAUGUGUAAAGAAAGUGAUGUGUGUUUUUAAAAUCCAUUUAGCAAAUUAUGCAGCACUAGUGUAUUUUCUUCUCC